AUUCCGGAAGUGCUCCAGGCCUCUAGGGGGCGCGCUACGUGGAACAGAUUGAUGUCUGACCAGACAUAGAGAGAACGAACAAGAGUGCUGCAAAUUGAAGCCGGAGGAAACAAAGUUGAUCGAAGUGGAAAAAGUCGAUAUAUAAGAAGGUGUGGGACAUUCCAAAUGUUCCAAAAGUGAGCACUUCACGAAUGGACAACAGUUUGCCAGGACCUCUCAGGCACCCACAACCAGCGUCUGAUCGGG